GGGGUUUUAGGCUGGGUUUCUGUACAGCACUUUGAGAUAUCAGCUGAUGUACGAAGGGCUAUAUAAAAAUAAAUUUGAUUUGAUUUGAUCCAUAAAGUUCCCCGCGGCGCCGGAAUCCACUAAAGCUGUAGACAGGGCAUGAGGGACAGUCAGCCAGAGUGAUGGGUACGACAAAGAGUCUAACAGGAAGAGCAGUAGAUGGAAUACUCACUCCUUGUCCAGGGGAUGUAACAUCACGUACCGUCUCUCAUCUCUAGUGGAUCCCGGAUUCUGAAGUAACGGACACCGCUAGCUUUUUUGCCCUCCCUGGCCAUAGUACAGACAGAGCCCCAGCUGUAUCCAUCUGCGUCGUUCCGCCGUGGGGAGGUGUGUGACCCGUACCUCCAUGGGUUCAGGCUCUGAUCCCGAACACUUGCCGAAGGAGGGAGAGAAGCGAUGAAGAUGCCGAAUCUCCCGGAGGAGGAUAUUCAGAUGGAUGGCCAUCGCAAUGAGUGCGUCCAGGGCCUCCUCACGCAGAGGACCUCCACACGCAGACCUCUUCUAAAUAACAUGCUGAGCGCCGGCUUAUUCCAUCCACUGGAAGCUGCUACUGUCAGGAAGUCCAACAGCUUUCCCAAUGCCUCCUGCACCUUCUGGACCACAAACGGAAUAUUCCUUCCUCUUUUCCAGAGCACCCCAUCAGCAAACAGGGAGAGGCCAAAACCAGGCCCGACAUCCUGGAACAUGUUAUUCAUCAUUAUAUUAAACAAAAUUGGAC
rnacentral:lncRNA from 1 species